rfam:Asian citrus Psyllid, Diaphorina citri - Florida Strain, whole genome shotgun sequence.
AGCUCAGUGGUGCAGUGGUUAACGCGUUAGACUUUGGAUCUGGAGGUUGGUGGUUCGAAUCCUUACCUGAACU